rnacentral:lncRNA from 1 species
UUCUGAGAGUGAUUUAUCUUAUUUUGUGAAAAUAUAUUAAAGGUCCGAUAUAGUAUGAUAUUGUGUAUAUCUAAUUGUAUGCUUUAUUUGCGAAUUAUUGUAUGCUCCUUGAGUGAAAAAACGAGAUGUAAGGACCAAUUGGAUGUUGAAAUAAGUUAUCAUGCAAUAACUUAUUCGGCAUGAGUAUUUUCUUUUAUGAUUAGAAGCUAGAAGCUUGAGAUGAUAGUAUAUUUCACCGAUGAGGUGGUCUAUCUUAUUUAGAGAAAACAACUUGAAGGCUAAAUAUGAUAUAUCAAUUUGGACAUCAAAUUCAACUAGGAUAAAAUUAAUACAUUAUUAAGAAAAUUUCAAUGUAAGAGAAUUUUUUAGACGUCGCUUGGAGGAAACGUCCCCGAGCGUUCAUAUAAUAUAGCAAAUAUUGACACAUCAAAAAAUAUCGUCAUAUAAAAUAUCUUUUGUAUCAAAUCAAUUUAUUAAAUAAUAAAUUUUACUAUUAUUUUUAAUUUUUCGACACUUUAAAGCUUCAGAAUUUUAAAAAAUUCUGAUGCUUUAAAGUGUCAGAAUAUAUUUUACCGACGCUGGGCAUAAGCGUCUGUAUAUACGUGGCGGCUAUUCAUUUACUAAUGUUUUAACCGACGCUUUCAAAUAUGAUGUUAGACUAUAUUGGGAGGCUUUUACGCAUUGUUAAAUAAAAAAAAACGUCCUUAAAUAUUAAUUAAUUUUCUUGUAGUGAUAUUAUAUGAAUAGUGGUUACUAUCCACUUUUUCAUCCUUGGAUUAUUACUAUUUCAUCAACUCCCCACUAAACCCUAGGCAUCGGAUGGUCAAAAAGUAGACGGUAAAUACUAUUUAUGUACUAUUAAUAAUAUUGUUGCACAAUUCCUAGACAUUUUAUUCCACUCUUCAUCUACCAAAUAUUAUAAACUUUUUGCGUAAAUUAAAAAGAUAUGCUAGACAAAAUGUUCAUGUAUUCAAACAGAAUCUAAAUAUUUUAUUUCU